CACCAAUCAAGCCCUGCUUGGCAUUAGGCCUCUCGCCCCCGGUCCUCACGGACGGCGGGGCGGGCCUCAAACACUUCGGCGGAGUCUCAUCGACUUUGGGCGUAGCAGAAUUUCUAAAACGUCAAGAGCGCUGGGCCUUCAGCCGCGAAAACACGGCGGUCGCAAGACCCCAACUUUUCUCAAA
rnacentral:misc_RNA from 1 species